GGGAGUAGAUAGUGACCUGGUGACGCUCCCGGACUUCAAAUCCGGUGGCGGGCGCGCUCCGUCCGCGGUGGGUUCGAUUCCCACCUACUCCCGCCA
rnacentral:tRNA from 1 species